AAUUGGCUCGGUUGGAGAAAAAAAACCCAGAUCAAACAGCCAGUGAGCUGGAACAACAAAGGAAUGUCCUGGCAUUUCUUUUUCCAAGUUUAGAAAUGGAAGUCAGGGCAGCCUUGGGAUUUGUGGAAAUUCCUCUGUGCAUUGUUACGAGGUGGAGGAAGUGGUUUCGAGUGCAGCUACUGGUUUUGGCGCUGGGAGCGGGGCUGGUUUCCACCGGGGGAGCCGAUGCUGCUGCCCACGCCGGGUGCCCCUGGCCGUGGUGGUGCCGGUGCCGCUGGUGUCGGACACAACGCCGCGGACGUUCCCCUGCUGACCCUGCUCACGGGGCCGACACCUCGCACGGGUGUCAUGGGGAGCCCCGGCCCCCCGCCCCCUUCCAGGGCUUUUUUUGAUGGCACGAGGCCUAGGAAAAUAAGUGGAAACAUUUUUCCGUUCCUGCUGGUAUUUCUUUCUUGCAGCUGCUUGGCACAGUUGGAGCUGGAGCGGGGUGUUUGCAGUGCACUAUCAGCUUCUCAGAGAGCCGUUCCCAUUUCCAUGCGGAGCUGUUCCUGUGGCCCUGUGAUAUAGAUCACGCUUUUAAACUGUUACUGCUGGUUUUCAAAUGCCAGAGGGUCAUUAGUAACAAAACGCCUCCCGUUCCCCCCAGAAACCAUCUUUGUUUGGCAAUGAGGGGAGAACGCGAGGUGAACCGAAAUGCUACAGGGAAGGUCUGGCUGGAGGGUGCAUCCCUGGCUGGUUGGUUCUUGUUCAGUGCUCGUGGCAUGGAAACCAAGAAAUCCGGAGGGAGCAGGGAAAGCGUUUUCUGAACUGACAGAACGAAUCAUGUGGAUCGAGCAGGAAUUUAAGUAGAGGUGAGCUGUUGAGAGCAGCCAGCACGGAGAGCUCCCAGUCCCUGUAACUCCUCCAGGCUGAAGAAGCAGCCGUCGCCUGCUCUGCCGUGCCUGCCCACCUCCAGAAACCACGCAGCGGGCCAGUGGCCAGCGGCGCUUCCCCAGGAAAAAGUCAGCGAGGGACUUUUGAGAGCAAAAACACAGGAGCUGAUCUCCCCUGAGCUUUCAGGAGUGCUCGAGGCUGUCACAUCAGAGCUCUUGAACACCGCUCUCCCAAAGCCUGGGUGCUGUGCGCUAGUAUCAAACCCCAUUUUAGAGCACCUUACACUUUUUAUUCUUAUUUUUUUGUCUC